GCCGGGCGUAGUGGCGCGUGCCUGUAGUCCCAGCUACUCGGGAGUCUGAGGUGGGAGGAUCGCUUGAUCCCAGGAGUUCUGGGCUGUAGUGCACUAUGCCGAUCGGGUGUCCACACUAAGUUUGGCAUCAAUAUGGUGACCUCCCAGGAGUGGGGGACCAGCAGGUUGCCUAAGGAGGGGUGAACCGACCCAGGUCAGAGAUAGAGCAGGUCAAAACUCUUGUGCUGAACAGCAGUGAGAUUGUGCCUGUGAAUAGCCACUGCACUCCAGCCUGGGCAACAUAGCGAGACCCCAUCUCAA
ensembl:misc_RNA Metazoa_SRP Metazoan signal recognition particle RNA